UUGUGACCUUAUUAUGGUCAGCAUGUGCCAAAUACAAACCUUUAAGGUAAUGACAUCUUCUCACAAGAAUGUUCAGGUCUCCUCUGUAUUUAUAUUUAAUCUGCUGUUCUUUCGGUGUCUGCUCAGGGAAACACCUCAAAGCUUCUCCACACAUCCAGUCAGCUCUGCAAAGGCAGAUACCUACAUCAGCAUUCACCUCCUCCUCUCCACCACCACCAGGUCGGUCCCUGUCCAUACAUCGGGCCGGGGUUGGGUGGGGUAGGUUCCGGCCCUGCCUGCCUGCACACAGCCAAAUCAUCAGACUAGCGGGCCAGUGAAAACAAGAUCCACCCAUCAGUGUGUUUGUGUUCAGGCCCAGGACCUGCUGCUGCACUGAAGCACAGGAUCAGAAUCGGAUCUGGGAUCAGAUCCAGGCCAGUAAACUUUAAGACCCCCUUUACACAAUGUGUUCAUGUGACAGGAAUGCAAUAAUCCAUCUAUUCAGAAGUGUGUUCUGUUCUUGUCAUGAUUUGUAUGGCAAGCAGAGUCCAUAAUUACUUUUUGCCAAUGGCAGGUGAAUUAAGAAUAUUUACUGAGAGGGAAACUGAGUCAUUACUUUCUCACUCUCAUUUUGUUCCAAACCCAUUUGCUGUAAUGAAAAUAAAAUAUGUUGAGCAUGGAAAAAAUUUGAGAUUAAGUAAAUAAUGAUUACAUUUUAAAAAUGUAUUCAAUUAAAAUUAUAUAAAUGUAUAUAUAUAAAGUUACCAUCCAACUUUUUAGCCACUCUCCAAAGCCAAGUUUUUAUCUGCAUUUGGAACUUGCAGAGUAUUCAUUUUGGACUCUGAUUGCAGUUCAGAAGCCAAUACAAAAAGUUCAUUGCAUAAAAAUUAUUAUAUUCUUCUAUCAAAGCAAGAGUUCAUAAUAAAGAUGAUAAAGAUGGUCUACUGUUUUUGUUAAAAUCAGUCUUUGAAUAUUAAUGUUAAAUACUGAAUACAAACAUUACUAAUGGCAAAGCUCUAUUGAGUCCAAAGAAAAUAUUAUGGAAAAUCAGUGCAAAUGAGUGUAUAUUAGGUGAAUAAAACUUGAGUUGAGUUUUGCAAAAAAACUUCAAGGCUCUUAAAGUUGAUUGUGAGCCUGAGAGUUACAGUCUGUAUGUGUUUGUGUGAUUGACAAGUGCAGAGCGCACCCCAAAAAAGUCAAAACCAUUCAAAAUCAAAAAGACAAACCAUUCAGUUAUUAUUAAAAAUCCACAUUGUUUUUGAUUAUGUACACAAGGGCUCAAAGACCAUUUUUGAAGUGGUUUCUCAAGUCAUCACUGUGCAUUAAGUGGCUCUAAAGGUUCUUGGAUUGGCUUGUGCAAAGCAUUAUAUUGCACCUAGAAAAUUUAUUUUAUCACUCGUACAUACACAGAUCAGGCAUAACAUUAUGACAACUGACAGGUGAAGUGAGUAACACUCGGCACCUGUUAGUGGGUGGGAUAU